rnacentral:misc_RNA from 1 species
AAGUCGUAACAAGGUCUCCGUUGGUGAACCAGCGGAGGGAUCAUUACUGAACGUUACAACGUACAACCCUUGUGAACCAUCUUCGUUGCUGCCUCGGCAGGCAAUCCCAGGGCGGGAUUCUUGGCCUCUUAGGGGGUCGCCUGCCAGCGGUGUAUAUAUCUUCAGGCUCUGAAUUAUAAUGGGCUUCUGAGUGUCUAGUGGGAAUAAGUCAAAACUUUCAACAACGGAUCUCUUGGUUCUG